rnacentral:rRNA from 1 species
UGCAAGUCGAGGGGUAUUGGUUUUCGGACCAAGAGACCGGCGCACGGGUGCGUAACGCGUAUGCAAUCUACCUUUUGCAGAGGGAUAGCCCAGAGAAAUUUGGAUUAAUACCUCAUAGUAUAGUACCUUGGCAUCAAGGAACUAUUAAAGUCACAACGGCAAAAGAUGAGCAUGCGUCCCAUUAGCUAGUUGGUAAGGUAACGGCUUACCAAGGCGACGAUGGGUAGGGGUCCUGAGAGGGAGAUCCCCCACACUGGUACUGAGACACGGACCAGACUCCUACGGGAGGCAGCAGUGAGGAAUAUUGGACAAUGGGCGCAAGCCUGAUCCAGCCAUGCCGCGUGCAGGAUGACGGUCCUAUGGAUUGUAAACUGCUUUUAUACGAGAAGAAACAACUCUACGUGUAGAGUCUUGACGGUAUCGUAAGAAUAAGCAUCGGCUAACUCCGUGCCAGCAGCCGCGGUAAUACGGGGGAUGCAAGCGUUAUCCGGAUUUAUUGGGUUUAAAGGGUGCGUAGGCGGUUUGAUAAGUCAGCGGUGAAAUAUUUCAGCUUAACUGAAAGGGUGCCGUUGAUACUGUCAGGCUUGAAUAUGGUUGCUGUGGGUGGAAUGUGUGGUGUAGCGGUGAAAUGCUUAGAUAUCACACAGAAUAUCGAUUGCGAAGGCAGCUCACAAAGCCAUUAUUGACGCUGAUGCACGAAAGUGUGGGGAUCAAACAGGAUUAGAUACCCUGGUAGUCCACACUGUAAACGAUGAUAACUCGCUGUCGGCGAUACACAGUCGGUAGCCAAGCGAAAGCGAUAAGUUAUCCACCUGGGGAGUACGACCGCAAGGUUGAAACUCAAAGGAAUUGACGGGGGCCCGCACAAGCGGAGGAACAUGUGGUUUAAUUCGAUGAUACGCGAGGAACCUUACCCGGGCUCGAACGGUGCAGGAAUACAUCAGAGAUGGUGUAGCUAGCAAUAGUCUGUAUCGAGGUGCUGCAUGG